rnacentral:rRNA from 1 species
CCUACGGGUGGCAGCAGUGGGGAAUAUUGCACAAUGGGCGAAAGCCUGAUGCAGCGACGCCGCGUGAGUGAAGAAGGUUUUCGGUAUGUAAAGCUCUAUCAGCAGGGAAGAAAAUGACGGUACCUGACUAAGAAGCACCGGCUAACUCCGUGCCAGCAGCCGCGGUAAUACGUAGGGGGCAAGCGUUAUUCGGAUUUACUGGGUGUAAAGUGAGCGUAGGCGGCAUAGCAAGUCAGAAGUGAAAACCCAGGGCUCAACCCUGGGACUGCUUUUGAAACUGUUUUGCUAGAGUGUCGGAGAGGUUAGUGGAAUUCCUGGUGUAGGGGUGAAAUGCGUAGAUAUUAGGAGGAACACCAGUGGCGAAGGCGACUUACUGGACGAUAACUGACGUUGAGGCGCGAAAGCGUGGGGAGCAAACAGGAUUAGAUACCCUUGUAGUC